AUUGAACGCUGGCGGCAGGCCCAACACAUGCAAGUCGAGCGGUAGAGAGAAGCUUGCUUCUCUUGAGAGCGGCGGACGGGUGAGUAAUGCCUAGGAAUCUGCCUGGUAGUGGGGGAUAACGUUCGGAAACGGACGCUAAUACCGCAUACGUCCUACGGGAGAAAGCAGGGGACCUUCGGGCCUUGCGCUAUCAGAUGAGCCUAGGUCGGAUUAGCUAGUUGGUGGGGUAAUGGCUCACCAAGGCGACGAUCCGUAACUGGUCUGAGAGGAUGAUCAGUCACACUGGAACUGAGACACGGUCCAGACUCCUACGGGAGGCAGCAGUGGGGAAUAUUGGACAAUGGGCGAAAGCCUGAUCCAGCCAUGCCGCGUGUGUGAAGAAGGUCUUCGGAUUGUAAAGCACUUUAAGUUGGGAGGAAGGGUUGUAGAUUAAUACUCUGCAAUUUUGACGUUACCGACAGAAUAAGCACCGGCUAACUCUGUG
rnacentral:rRNA from 1 species